AUACUCUGGUUUCUCUUCAGAUCGUAUAAAUCUUUCGCCUUUUACUAAAGAUUUCCGUGGAGAGGAACACUCAGAGUUUUAACUAAUUUUUUGUGGCCCUACUUUUCAGUAGGGC